AUUGAACGCUGGCGGCAGGCCUAACACAUGCAAGUCGAACGAGCGGCGGACGGGUGAGUAAUGUCUGGGGAACUGCCUGAUAGAGGGGGAUAACUACUGGAAACGGUAGCUAAUACCGCAUACUAUCGGAUGAACCCAUAUGGGAUUAGCUAGUAGGUGGGGUAACGGCUCACCAAGGCGACGAUCUCUAGCUGGUCUGAGAGGAUGACCAGCAACACUGGAACUGAGACACGGUCCAGACUCCUACGGGAGGCAGCAGUGGGGAAUAUUGCACAAUGGGCGCAAGCCUGAUGCAGCCAUGCCGCGGGUAUGAAGAAGGCCUUAGGGUUGUAAAGUACUUUCAGCGGGGAGGCGUUACCCGCAGAAGAAGCACCGGCUAACUCCGUGCCAGCAGCCGCGGUAAUUC
rnacentral:rRNA from 1 species